rnacentral:rRNA from 1 species
UACGAAGGGGGCUAGCGUUGUUCGGAAUUACUGGGCGUAAAGGGCGCGCAGGCGGCCCUCCAAGUCAGGCGUGAAAGCCCCGGGCUCAACCCGGGAACAGCGCUUGAGACUGGGGGGCUUGAGUUCGGGAGAGGAGGGUGGAAUUCCCAGUGUAGAGGUGAAAUUCGUAGAUAUUGGGAAGAACACCGGUGGCGAAGGCGGCUCUCUGGACCGACACUGACGCUGAGGCGCGAAAGCGUGGGGAGCAAACAGG